rnacentral:rRNA from 1 species
UACGUAGGGUCCGAGCGUUGUCCGGAAUUACUGGGCGUAAAGAGCUCGUAGGUGGUUUGUCGCGUUGUUCGUGAAAACUCACAGCUCAACUGUGGGCGUGCGGGCGAUACGGGCAGACUAGAGUACUGCAGGGGAGACUGGAAUUCCUGGUGUAGCGGUGGAAUGCGUAGAUAUCUGGAGGAAUACCGGUGGCGAAGGCGGCAUCCUGGACCGACAUUGACGCUGAGGAGCGAAAGCGUGGGGAGCGAACAGG